rnacentral:tRNA from 3 species
GCCGGGGUGGCGGAAUUGGCAGACGCGCAUGACUCAGGAUCAUGUGGGCAUUAUGCCUGUGCGGGUUCAAGUCCCGCCUCCGGCACCA